rnacentral:rRNA from 1 species
GAUGAACGCUGGCGGCGUGCUUAACACAUGCAAGUCGAGCGAUGAAGCCCAGCUUGCUGGGUGGAUUAGUGGCGAACGGGUGAGUAACACGUGAGUAACCUGCCCUUCACUCUGGGAUAAGCCUGGGAAACUGGGUCUAAUACCGGAUAGGAGCGUCCACCGCAUGGUGGGUGUUGGAAAGAUUUAUCGGUUUUGGAUGGACUCGCGGCCUAUCAGCUUGUUGGUGAGGUAAUGGCUCACCAAGGCGACGACGGGUAGCCGGCCUGAGAGGGUGACCGGCCACACUGGGACUGAGACACGGCCCAGACUCCUACGGGAGGCAGCAGUGGGGAAUAUUGCACAAUGGGCGAAAGCCUGAUGCAGCGACGCCGCGUGAGGGAUGACGGCCUUCGGGUUGUAAACCUCUUUCAGUAGGGAAGAAGCGAAAGUGACGGUACCUGCAGAAGAAGCACCGGCUAACUACGUG